ACCGAAUAGGGGAGCCGAAGGGAAACCGAGUCUUAACUGGGCGUUAAGUUGCAGGGUAUAGACCCGAAACCCGGUGAUCUAGCCAUGGGCAGGUUGAAGGUUGGGUAACACUAACUGGAGGACCGAACCGACUAAUGUUGAAAAAUUAGCGGAUGACUUGUGGCUGGGGGUGAAAGGCCAAUCAAACCGGGAGAUAGCUGGUUCUCCCCGAAAGCUAUUUAGGUAGCGCCUCGUGAAUUCAUCUCCGGGGGUAGAGCACUGUUUCGGCAAGGGGGUCAUCCCGACUUACCAACCCGAUGCAAACUGCGAAUACCGGAGAAUGUUAUCACGGGAGACACACGGCGGGUGCUAACGUCCGUCGUGAAGAGGGAAACAACCCAGACCGCCAGCUAAGGUCCCAAAGUCAUGGUUAAGUGGGAAACGAUGUGGGAAGGCCCAGACAGCCAGGAUGUUGGCUUAGAAGCAGCCAUCAUUUAAAGAAAGCGUAAUAGCUCACUGGUCGAGUCGGCCUGCGCGGAAGAUGUAACGGGGCUAAACCAUGCACCGAAGCUGCGGCAGCGACACUAUGUGUUGUUGGGUAGGGGAGCGUUCUGUAAGCCUGUGAAGGUGUACUGUGAGGUAUGCUGGAGGUAUCAGAAGUGCGAAUGCUGACAUAAGUAACGAUAAAGCGGGUGAAAAGCCCGCUCGCCGGAAGACCAAGGGUUCCUGUCCAACGUUAAUCGGGGCAGGGUGAGUCGACCCCUAAGGCGAGGCCGAAAGGCGUAGUCGAUGGGAAACAGGUUAAUAUUCCUGUACUUGGUGUUACUGCGAAGGGGGGACGGAGAAGGCUAUGUUGGCCGGGCGACGGUUGUCCCGGUUUAAGCGUGUAGGCUGGUUUUCCAGGCAAAUCCGGAAAAUCAAGGCUGAGGCGUGAUGACGAGGCACUACGGUGCUGAAGCAACAAAUGCCCUGCUUCCAGGAAAAGCCUCUAAGCAUCAGGUAACAUCAAAUCGUACCCCAAACCGACACAGGUGGUCAGGUAGAGAAUACCAAGGCGCUUGAGAGAACUCGGGUGAAGGAACUAGGCAAAAUGGUGCCGUAACUUCGGGAGAAGGCACGCUGAUAUGUAGGUGAAGUCCCUCGCGGAUGGAGCUGAAAUCAGUCGAAGAUACCAGCUGGCUGCAACUGUUUAUUAAAAACACAGCACUGUGCAAACACGAAAGUGGACGUAUACGGUGUGACGCCUGCCCGGUGC
rnacentral:rRNA from 1 species